rnacentral:rRNA from 1 species
AUUGAACGCUGGCGGCGUGCCUAACACAUGCAAGUCGAGCGGUAACAGGUGUAGCAAUACAUGCUGACGAGCGGCGAACGGGUGAGUAAUGCUUCGGAAUCUACCUUAUGGUGGGGAAUAACUAGCCGAAAGGUUAGCUAAUACCGCAUACGUCCUACGGGAGAAAGCAGGGGAUCGCAAGACCUUGCGCCAAAAGAUGAGCCGAAGUCGGAUUAGCUAGUUGGUAGGGUAACGGCCUACCAAGGCGACGAUCCGUAGCUGGUCUGAGAGGACGACCAGCCACACUGGGACUGAGACACGGCCCAGACUCCUACGGGAGGCAGCAGUGGGGAAUAUUGGACAAUGGGGGAAACCCUGAUCCAGCGACGCCGCGUGUGUGAAGAAGGCCUGCGGGUUGUAAAGCACUUUUAGUGGGGAUGAAAUGUGCAGGGCUAACACCUCUGCAUUUGACCUAACC